GCGGCCGUGGCGGAACAGGUAGACGCACUAGCUUGAGGGGUUAGCGGGGAAACCCGUGGAGGUUCGAGUCCUCUCGGCCGCACCA
rnacentral:tRNA from 1 species